UUAAGUGGGAACAUACAAUUCAGACUGGUGUUCCAAUUGACUUAAGAGGGUUUAAUACCAGCUACCUCGUUCUACAAGCUAUGGCCAUGUGGGGGAAUGACAGACGACUGAAAUUUGUUGGGGAUGCAAAGACUCUUCGAAGGAACUUUGUGAUUGAUCUUUUAAGUUAUGAGGACAAUUCGUGCCGAUAUGCCAUCCCUGCAAACAUACAACAAAGACUUAUCGAUAUCGCUAAAAAAGAUUAGCUGAUUAGUGAACAGUUGUCGACACAUUUGUGAACACAUUUAUCCAAAACAUUACUUGAAGAUGACUUUGUUAGUUCCUAAGUUCAUAUAAUGUCAUAGAUCUUGGUAGCCAGUUUCAUGUGUGUGUUAGUGCUGUAUAUUUGGACCUGUCAUUUACAUUUACAUGGUGUGUGUUAUUAUUGCAAGUGCUCUAUAGUAUGCCUUUUGAUCUAUGUCAGGUUGCUCAACUUUAUUCUGGUUUGGUGAAGGUUUGUUCCUUCAACUUAAUGCAUCAGUAAUGGUUGCAUUUUCUGGUAGAUAGA